UGCAAGUCGAACGACAGCGCGGGGCACCUGGUCGGUCGAGUGGCGAACGGGUUGAGUAAUAUAUCGGAACGUCACCCCUGGAGUGGGGGAUAACGUACCGAAAGUUACGCUAAUACCGCAUACAAUCUAAGGAUGAAAGUGGGGGAUGCGCAAGCACCUCAUGCUCCUGGAGCGGCCGAUAUCUGAUUAGCUAGUUGGUGGGGUAAAGGCCUACCAAGGCAUCGAUCAGUAGCUGGUCUGAGAGGACGACCAGCCACACUGGAACUGAGACACGGUCCAGACUCCUACGGGAGGCAGCAGUGGGGAAUUUUGGACAAUGGGCGAAAGCCUGAUCCAGCAAUGCCGCGUGAGUGAAGAAGGCCUUCAGGGUUGUAAAGCUCUUUUGUCAGGGAAGAAAAGGUAUCCCCUAAUACGGGGUGCUCAUGACGGUACCUGAAGAAUAAGCACCGGCUAACUACGUGCCAGCAGCCGCGGUAAUACGUAGGUGCAAGCGUUAAUCGGAAUUACUGGGCGUAAAGCGUGCGCAGGCGGU
rnacentral:rRNA from 1 species